UAGGUAACAAAAAUCCCUAAAACGACUCAUCCGAUCAGAACAUAUAUGCAAUCAUAAAUAUAAGUGCAAAGCCGUUAUUGGAAGAAAAACAAACCCUAAGUCUAAUAUAAGCUUGAAUCAUGGAAAGAAAACCGGAAGAGAAACGCAAAAGAGCAUGCCAUGGAAAGAAGAAGAGUAAUGAUAUUGAACAACUACCAAAUGUUCUUAUAGAAGAGAUCUUAGAGAGAAUUGGUGCAGAAUCUCUUAUAAGAUUCACAUCCGUUUCGAAGUAAUGGAACUCGAUGAUCAAAUCAACAUCUUUUGCGUCGAGACAUCUAAUCCGAGCGCAGUCACAAAAUCCGAGUAUCCUUCUUGCCGGUGCCCGCGCUUGGAAUGAACCAUAUCCAUUUUGUUAUCUUAAGAAAGUGGAGUUAGGAUCUUCAGAAUUGAAAGAGGCUCAUAUUAUGCCCAAUCCCUAUGAAUGUUGUGUAAUUACCGGAAGCUGUGAUGGUCUUGUUUGCGUCUACGGUAUUGAAAGAUUGAUGUGUAUCAUCAAUCCGGCCACUAGAUGAUUUCGAUCUUUUCCUCGGCCUAAGAUUUAAAAAAUUAACCGCCUUAGACGAAUUCUGGACGGCAGUUAUCGCGCAUCAAGCUAUCCAGGAUUCGGUAAAGACACUAUGACAGGCAAGUACAAGAUCGUAUGGUUAUAUAACUCUUCAGAACUAGGCCUAGAUGGCCAUACAACAUGCGAGGUUUUUGAUUUUAGUACUAAUAGUUGGAGAAAUGUGACUGGCUCUACACAUCGCAUUUGUGAGUUUCCUGUAUAUUUAGAUGGAUCACUUCAUUGGUUGACUCUCGAAUUGAAUGGAGGAAAAACUAAGAUAAUACGUUUCGAUCUUCACACAGAAGUUUUUGAAGUAGUGGUCGAAAUUCGGACUGCCCAUCCAUCUCCUUGUUGGCCUAAUAUGCACAGUCUGAAUAAUCGUCUUUGCGUAGUGGAACAGAAAACCAACUGUGAAGAAAUAUGGUCACUGAAUUCACACAAGGUAUGGGAGAAGACAUACAGUAUAAAUCUAAGCAACACUUCUCCUUGGUUUGGGAACUCAUUGGGUCUAAUAAGACCGGUGACAGUUUUCAACAAAACAGAGUUACUAUUUCGUUACAGAUAUAUCGAUUAUCCUUGUUUAUUGGUACAAGAUACUAGAACGGGUUCUUGUUCUUUAUAUUCCAAAGCUACUCAAUUGGAUCAAGUUAUUUCUUAUAUUCCAAGCUUGAUCGCUAUUUAGUUGAAGAUCUUUUACUUUGUUUUUCAUUUUUUUUGUCAACGAAAUAAAGUCGGUUUUUCA